AAGUAAAUGUAUCUUUUCACUGGGAGUAGAACGUUGUGCUGGGGAGUGGAAUGUUGCCCGGGGAAUGGAACGUGGCCUGGAUUGGGAGUCGAAUCCUGAGCUUGGAGAGUUAGGAAGGUAAUUGAUGUGGAGCAGACUGCCCUAAAUAUUUGGUCACUCCGGAGGAAAAUCUUUCGGUAUUAUGACUAAAUGAACCCGAGGAGGGGAUAAGAGAUCAGAAGGCUUAAUUUCACGUUAAUGGUGAGCUGAAGAUGGAUGAUGGGAUUGCUGAGCUAAUAGCAGAAAGAGAUAACUCAACUGACGAUGGGCCUGUUCAGGCCAGCAGCUCACGGCCAGAGAUCUGUUUACACCUGCCUAGGAGUAUACUUCAGUUCCAAAAUAUCAAAGAUGCAAAGCAAACUGGUUUCCGACAGACAGUCCAAACUUGUCUGAGUGGCAUUGAGAAAGCCAUGCUUCAUCACCAGUGGCAGACUGCUGCAGAACUGAUGACAAGCUACUUCCAGAUCUUAGAAGACAACACCACCAGAAAACAGGCUUCUACUAGUAAGGUCAUUUGGAUGAUUGGAACUGCAAUACUUCAGUAUCAUCCCAAUAGCUGCAUUGAGGACGUCAGUUCAUUUGCUAGGAAAAUGAAGAGUAUAGGAGUCAAACAUUUCCUGAAGAUCUGCUUGGAGCAUGCUAUUCACCUGUUGUGCAAUGGAAAGAUGGAGGAAGCCUACAGGGAAUUGUCUCUAGCUGAAACAUGGCGAUAUGGUGAAAAUUCUGCAGCUCAGCAAAAAGUGCUGAAACUCAUUCAGGGUUAUAGGUCAUUGCUUGACUAUUAUACAUGGGUUAAAAAGAAUAGUACUCUUCAUGAGCAAGGUGAUGCCGAAAUCAAUUCGGGCAGAGUGCAAGAGAUGCACAACUAUUUCCGACAAGCCUCUAUUGGUCUACGUGAUGCUGUAGAAAAUCCUGGUGUUUGGGAUCCCUUCAUACUCAGUUAUGUAAAUCUCCUUGAUUUCUAUGAUGGUUUUGAAGAAGCACUGACCGUGUUAAACAAUUAUGCUUAUAAUAGCAGAUUUCCACCAAACCCAAAUGCUCAUGUAUAUUUGUACGAGUUCCUGAAAAAACACAAUACCUCGGCUAAAAAACUGAUCAAAGUACUGAGGAUCUUGCAUCAGCUGGUUCCUUCCCAUGAACUGAUGUUAGAAUUUCACUCGCUACUACUCCAAUCAAAAAAAAAGAAGCAUCGUAAGGAAGCACUGGGUGUCCUCUUCUGUCUUCUAGAUUUUUCUACAUGGAAAGAAAACUACCACGUAUGGAAAUGUUUAAUAAAACAGAUGAAGAAAGUUAUAGCUGAGGGUCACUGUGACUGGAUCCAUGAGCAGUGGGAGUCCAGACAAGACUGGUGGCCUGCGUAUCAUUUCAGCAAAUAUCGAGCACACAAGGAUUUUGAACAAAAUGAGAGCUAUGCUUCAAGGAAAGCAAUGGUUGCAGGAAUCCUAAUGGGGAAAGGCUGCAAAUACUUUGUCACCAUUUACCAACUGGGAUAUAAACUUCAGGAAACGAAAUUGAAGAAGAUGAGACAAUAUAUAAAGAAUCACAGUCUGCCAAAUAAAUCUUGAAUUGUAGGACUCUGCACGUACAGCUCAUAGAAAUCAAAAGUCAUUGUCGAAACUUUUAAAUAUUUGGAAUCUCUCUCAAAUAAAAGGGAAGAAAAGGAAAACUCAUCUGAUCCGAGAAAGGAAACCUUAUACUUCACCUGUCCUGACUGUCCUUCCCUCAAUCAAAUACUGUGUUGACACUGCAGACCACCUACCAAUAUCAGCCUUUCUUAUUGAUGGGGUCGAUCAGAUGCUGCUGUGGAGUUUCGGAAACUGCCUAAUGGAAAACAGUGAGCAUCAGUCCAGAAAAUAGAAAACCGUCACUUAGAUGAAUAUGUUAAGCGUAUAAAAUGACUGUAGUUAUGAUGUUCUUUUGAUGAGUACAAGGGUUUAAGGUGACCUUUGUUCCACAUGCCUGAUCAUUAAGCAUCAUUUGAUUCUAAUGAUGCUUGUAAUGAAUGCAAUUGACCACUUGAUGGCAGCCAUACAAUGAGAUUAGGAUUUAUUUCUCGCACUGACUUUAUAUUAUGGAGAAUUGUAUUUUCUAAACUAGCUUAAAAAAUGAUGUGUUCAGCUUUUAGUAAUGUACAUUUUUUUGAAGGGGAUCUGGAGGACAUUCCAUAUGGAUGGUAUUUGUGUUUAAAUUCAGAAGUAGUUAUUGAGCAGAAACUGGCCCAAAACAUUCCAUCUGCUGCACUGUGGCUAAUUUGUAAUAAUUUAUGUUUUAAACAAUUCAACUAUUAUUAACAGAAUUCAUAAAUGCUUCCAAAAAUCAUCAUCAAUCCUUGUCAUUAUUUCAGUGUUUGAUUUAUAUUGGGAUUGUGAAACACUUUUUUUUAGAUUAGAUUAGAUUAGAUUACUUAGUGUGGAAACAAGUCCACACCGACCCGCCGAAGCG